AGAGGUUCAGGGCAAGUCGAGCUGGUCACUUCAGGGAGAGAGCCAGACCAAUGCAGGCAGCCCAAAGACUGCACCGCCUGAGAGGGAAAAGACUGUAGAGACUGAGGAGUGUGUCAGCCUUCACUGCACCAAUGUUUAGCUGUUGAGUCUCCUCUAGUAUUGUUGACCACUUGACAUGUGAGAGCUUGAGGAGUUGUUUCCCCUCCAUUUUCAAGGGCUUGCUCUCUUACUGCCUCCACUUCACCACGUUUUGGCCACUGAGUCGUCUCUGAUUUGUUGAGUUGACCACCCUAUAUAUGAGAGCCUAAGGAGUUGUUUUCCCUCUGUCCCCUUUUGAGGACCUGCUUUUUCUCCUCCAUCAUUCACUGGGCCACUUUUGGGUUCCCUUAGCUUAUUUCAUGUGGUGAG